rnacentral:rRNA from 1 species
GCAUGCAGCUAUAUCACCCUGCAACUUACAGCUGGAAAACCACUGAGGAUAAGCAGGUGUGAGCCUGGUCACUACCUGGAUGGGAGACCUCCUGGGAAAGCUAAGGUUGCUCCUGGAA